ACUCUCUGUACCCUGGCAAGAGGUCCCUGCUUUGUGAUACAGAGGACAAAAUUCUGAAGUUGAUGAAAAACUCCCAUUGAGUUCUACAGUGUCAAGAUUACAAGGUGGUUAAUUCAAGCAGAGAGUCCUUUGGGCCAUAGAAUUCAUUCCCAAACUUAGAGAGUGCGGGUACUACAAAGCAUGGAAUUUACCUGUAACUACUCACGUUUCUCAACCUGGUUUAUAAAAUGCAGACGUUCCCUAAAUUCUAGGGUCACUCAGCUAUUACAGAAGGAAUUUGGUCGGGGUACUCACUGAGAGGUAUGAAGGAACAAUUUUCACUGGAGCUCAUUUCUAAACUGCUGGCUUUGUGUAUACAUUG
rnacentral:lncRNA from 1 species